GGGGGCAAGCGUUGUUCGGAAUUACUGGGCGUAAAGGGCGCGUAGGCGGCCUUCUAAGUCGAACGUGAAAUCCCUGGGCUCAACCCAGGAACUGCGUCCGAUACUGGAAGGCUUGAAUCCGGGAGAGGGAUGCGGAAUUCCAGGUGUAGCGGUGAAAUGCGUAGAUAUCUGGAGGAACACCGGUGGCGAAGGCGGCAUCCUGGACCGGUAUUGACGCUGAGGCGCGAAAGCCAGGGGAGCAAACGGG
rnacentral:rRNA from 1 species